CACCGAUAAAGGCAAACCAUCCGAAAGGAUGGGACGCAAAGCCAAAGGGCCUAAUCGUAAGAAUGGCAGCCGAGCUACCGAA
rnacentral:ncRNA from 1 species